CAGGUGCGAAAUCUCUAGUUGUUUGGACUCAGGGUUCCAUUUGACAGCGCACUCGCACUAGCCCAAAUUUCUUUAUAAUUAGGGAGUCUGUGAAUCAUUUUGCAUUUCAAGAGGAAUGGAAAAAGACUUGAAGAUGAGCUGCCCCUUGAAGCAAAUGGAGACUACACCAAGUCAAGGAGGAGGAG